rnacentral:rRNA from 1 species
CCCUUAGAUGUUCUGGGCCGCACGCGCGCUACACUGAUGCAUUCAACGAGCCUAGCCUUGACCGAGAGGUCCGGGUAAUCUUUGAAACUGCAUCGUGAUGGGGCUAGAUUAUUGCAAUUAUUAAUCUUCAACGAGGAAUGCCUAGUAAGCGUGAUUCAUCAAAUCGCGUUGAUUACGUCCCUGCCCUUUGUACACACCGCCCGUCGCUCCUACCGAUUGAGUGUGUUGGUGAGGAGUUCGGUUUGGCUCUUAGUGGUGGUUCGCCACCACCUAGAGCUGAGAAGUUCUCCAAACCGCCCCACUUAGAGGAAGGAGAAGUCGUAACA